rnacentral:rRNA from 1 species
AGCGAACGCUGGCGGCAGGCCUAACACAUGCAAGUCGAACGAACCCUUCGGGGUUAGUGGCGGACGGGUGAGUAACACGUGGGAACGUACCUUUAGGUUCGGAACAACACAGGGGAAACUUGUGCUAAUGCCGAAUGUGCCCUUCGGGGGAAAGAUUUAUCGCCUUUAGAGCGGCCCGCGUCUGAUUAGCUUGUUGGUGAGGUAAAGGCUCACCAAGGCUACGAUCAGUAGCUGGUCUGAGAGGAUGAUCAGCCACACUGGGACUGAGACACGGCCCAGACUCCUACGGGAGGCAGCAGUGGGGAAUCUUGCGCAAUGGGCGAAAGCCUGACGCAGCCAUGCCGCGUGAAUGAUGAAGGUCUUAGGAUUGUAAAAUUCUUUCACCGGGGAAGAUAAUGACGGUACCCGGAGAAGAAGCCCCGGCUAACUUCGUGCCAGCAGCCGCGGUAAU